rnacentral:rRNA from 1 species
UACGGAGGGAGCUAGCGUUGUUCGGAAUUACUGGGCGUAAAGCGCACGUAGGCGGCUUUAUAAGUCGGGGGUGAAAGCCUGUGGCUCAACCACAGAAUUGCCUUCGAUACUGUAGAGCUUGAGACCGGAAGAGGUUAGUGGAACUGCGAGUGUAGAGGUGAAAUUCGUAGAUAUUCGCAAGAACACCAGUGGCGAAGGCGGCCUGCUGGGCAGUUUUGCUGACACUGAGGCGCGACAGCGUGGGGAGCAAACAGG